rnacentral:rRNA from 1 species
UACAGAGGGUGCGAGCGUUGUUCGGAAUUAUUGGGCGUAAAGGGCGCGUAGGCGGCGCCACAAGUCACCUGUGAAAACUCUGGGCUCAACCCAGAGCCUGCAGGCGAAACUGUGGUGCUGGAGUAUGGGAGAGGUGCGUGGAAUUCCUGGUGUAGCGGUGAAAUGCGUAGAUAUCGGGAGGAACACCUGUGGCGAAAGCGGCGCACUGGACCAUAACUGACGCUGAGGCGCGAAAGCUAGGGGAGCAAACAGG